rnacentral:rRNA from 1 species
GACGAACGCUGGCGGCGUGCUUAACACAUGCAAGUCGAACGGAAAGGCCCUGCUUUUGUGGGGUGCUCGAGUGGCGAACGGGUGAGUAACACGUGAGUAACCUGCCCUUGACUUUGGGAUAACUUCAGGAAACUGGGGCUAAUACCGGAUAGGAGCUCCUGCUGCAUGGUGGGGGGUGGAAAGUUUCGGCGGUUGGGGAUGGACUCGCGGCUUAUCAGCUUGUUGGUGGGGUAGUGGCUUACCAAGGCGUUGACGGGUAGCCGGCCUGAGAGGGUGACCGGCCACAUUGGGACUGAGAUACGGCCCAGACUCCUACGGGGGGCAGCAGUGGGGAAUAUUGCACAAUGGGCGGAAGCCUGAUGCAGCGACGCCGCGUGCGGGAUGACGGCCUUCGGGUUGUAAACCGCUUUCGCCUGCGACGAAGCGUGAGUGACGGUAAUGGGUAAAGAAGCACCGGCUAACUACGUG